rnacentral:rRNA from 1 species
CCUACGGGUGGCAGCAGUGAGGAAUAUUUGUCAAUGGGCGAGAGCCUGAACCAGCCAAGUCGCGUGAGGGAAGACGGUCCUACGGAUUGUACACCUCUUUUGUCAGAGAGCAAGGAUCGCCACGAGUGGUGCGGCUAGAGUACCUUAAGAAAAAUCAUCGGCUAACUCCGUGCCAGCAGCCGCGGUAAUACGGAGGGUGCGAGCGUUAUCCGGAUUUAUUGGGUUUAAAGGGUGCGCAGGCGGAAGCGGCCAGUCAGCGGUAACAUUGCGGGGCUCACCCUGGCCGAGCCGGUGCAACUGCUCUUCGAGAGUGGGCGAGAAGUAUGCGGAAUGCGGGGUGUAGCGGUGAAAUGCAUAGAUAUCACGCAGAACUCCGAUUGCGAAGGCAGCAUACCGACGCCCAACUGACGCUCAUGCACGAAAGCGUGGGUAUCGAACAGGAGUAGAUACCCUUGUAGUC